ensembl:lncRNA
CUUCCUAGCUAUGUGCCAGAGACACGAACACGUAGGUCUAGUAGGAAAUGUGUACCAGGAUAUUCAGGAUAGGAUUGUGUGUGACAGUGAGAACUGGAUGCAAUCCGGAUGUCCAUGCUAAAGUACAGAUUAAUUAGUGCUUGACUGACUUACGCUUAGGCAACAUGGAUCUUGUCAAGGAAGUGAUGGUGCCACUGGCUUUUGUAAGUCACUUUAUUCACUCUGGAGAAAACGAAACCAUGGAAGACAUGUAAUAGCAUGUUUAAAAUGCUGAAAAAUAUAAGAGACACCUACCAUCCAAGAAUUAUAUGAUCAGUGAAAACAUCCUUAAUAUGAAAGCAAAAUAAAGACAUUUUCAGACAAAACAAAAGCUGUACAUUUCCAGCUAAGAGGAGUUUUUUGGAUGAAGGAAAAUGUCUGCACAUAGAAACAGACCCAAAGGGCUGAAUCAAAUGGGAACUGCAUAUGUUUGUAGAUUAUUUUAGCUUGACUCUAACUGGAAUGAAAUAUCUUGUCUGGCACUAUAUAAUCAGUCAAUCCAGGAUGACAAGUCUACAGAAUGGGACAUUAAAAUAGCCCAGAAUGAAAGGUUCCAUACAUAAAAGAUGUGCUGCACGCUAAGUCGCUUCAGCCGUGUCCGACUCUUUGCGACCCUCUGGACUGCAGCCUGCCAGGGUCCUCUGUGCAUGUGGUUCUCCAGGCAACAACACUAGAGUGGACUGCCAUAUCUUUCUCCAGGGAAUCUCCCUGACCCGAGGAUCGAAUCCACAUCUCUUAAGUCUCCUGCAUUGGCAGACGUGUUCCUUACCACUAGCGCCAUCCCAAAAGUGUUAGUUGCUCAGUCUG